rnacentral:tRNA from 1 species
GCGAGAGUGGUGGAAUUGGCAGACACGCCAGACUUAGGAUCUGGUGCCCCAGGCAUAAGGGUUCAAGUCCCUUCUCUCGCA